AAAGUAGUAGGUUAUAUAGACCUUUGCUUUUCAAGAGCAAAAGAAGCUCGUUAUGCUCUGCUUUA
rnacentral:tRNA from 1 species